UGUUAAACAUAUUGAUUUUGUAAAUUAGAUUUUGUUAAAAAUAUUCUUACGCUUUUAAAAUGUGUCAAAAUCUAAUUUUAGUUAAAUUACAGUCGGAUCGAUCAUAUUUUAAUUGUUGAAACAAUAUAUUUAAACGAUCUCUAACAUCCACAUCAGUUUUUGGAUAAAUGAAAUUAAACUUGUGAUGUUAACUACAUAACAUCAUAAAGUUGAGGGAUGUUGUCAUGCAUAACAUAUAGUUUGUGUGGCUAGAUAUACAUUAGUUUAGUUUGCAUGGCUAGUCAUGUGAUGAUCAAUACUUCAUAUAGCUAGCAAUCAUUUUUUCUGAAAAGAAAAUAAAGAAAAACAAAUUAAAAACAUUACGAAGGAUAUGAUUAUCUUACAAUAUUAAAAGGAGAGGCAUGCACAUCAGAUGGAAAAUCAGCCAAUCAAAAUUAUCUUUUUUGACACGUCAUUUCUUCUUACACCGAUAAUGAAAAUGACGGGCUUCUUACGAAUUUGCUUCAUUCUAUUUCCUUACAGCCCAAAUUGAGCCCACUUCUGGAACUUCGAUAGUCACUGCCUCAUCCACUUCGUCUUCUCCUCUACAGCAAUCCAUCAUAUCAAUCAAUUAUGUUCUUCAUUGCUCUCUUUACGGAUUCGUUUCACCUCCCUCUCUUUCUUCUCACGUAUAAAUUGCUUAACAGUUUCCUCUAAACUUACUUCUAAGCAAACUCGAAAGCCUACUUUGAAGAGCCUAAAGCUAUGGCCAUGAACAGGGUACUGUCGUACAAAGUUUCAUUAUUGAUGAAUAAGGAUUUACCGUGUUACUCAAGAUUAAAUGGAACUGCUUUUCCAUUGAUUCGAAGAGAUUCAGGUUUCAGCCCUUAGAGUGUUUCCAAGGCAACUGUGACCGAGAAGGCGAUCUGUACCGAUGUAGCCGGCCAUCGCAGGCUAUUUGAUGGCCAACAACUAACGCCCUAUAUUUGAGGGAACAAUGAAAGGGCGAAUCUCCGUUCAUCUGCAGCUUAAAUAAGGACCUCUUAUAAAUUAUCUUAGUGCAUCAUAAUACUACGGUAAAUUAUAUACCCUGGUUCGUUCCUCAAUACUUUUUAUUUUAAAAAGUAAGCUCGAAUCCUUUUAUUUUGUUGAUUAACAUGCUCAUCUUUAACGGAAACUGAUAACGUAACUGUAAAUUGUUGGUGUGCUAGAGUAGUGGCACUGAUGAGGGAUCAUCCUCAGAUCCAACUUUGUACGGUUGGUUUAAAAAGAUUGAAUCAUUUUGAAUCAUUUACACUGUCUGAACUCAGUACUCACGGCCUCACUGCAUCACCAGAGGUAAACCCAAAAUCAUUUUCAAGCUGCGUCGAACCUGUUGUUGACCAUAUCUUGAAACACAAGAAGGAAGCAGAGUUCCUUUGCACUGCGGUCGUCGAAAGCAUUGACACUGCAGACGGACGGUGCUAAAUCUCAUGUUUCAAGUGCUAACGCAAACUGUAACGUGUAUUCUCAGCUUUUUAAUGCUAUGCAUAUCAAAACGACAAUGCAAUUGGUGUUGUUAGGUACCAUGUGCAAAUGAGUGUUUUUGAUGCAUAUGACACUGCUGAGUUCUUUUGACACUGAAAUCACAAAGCUUACCAAAGUCAGGGCAAUAGAAGCAUCGCAACAAAUGCAGAAUGGUGGCAACCAAGAAACCCAAGGAUUAGCACUUCUCCAAUGACUCCAAGACAUUGUUGGCAGCACCCUAACCUUCCAUUUGAAUCUAUCCCAGUUCAACUACUCAUCAAAGCAUCAAAGCUUAACAGUCUCCCGUAAAUUGGAUCACAACCAGCACCCUCCUCUACCUAAUUUGAGUUGAACAAAAGUAACAAUACUAAUGUAUAGUGUUAGCAAGACUUUAAAGUUGUUGAUUGUUGUGGAUGCUUAAUGACCAUCCUGGCGAUGAUAUGUCUGGUGCUAGAGCAAUCAAGAAAAGGCCACCUGCUUUGAACACUUUUCGCCUGAACAAUGGAGGCUGCACAGCUGAUGUGAAUGUUACAGGCCAAGCACUCCCCGUGUACGUCCCAAUUUAGGACCCUGCUUAGAACAGUGACAUUGGAGAGGAGUUAGUUGAAGAGGAAGGCUGCAGCGCUAAGAAGACCCGCAAAGACUAAGGGAUCUACAUCGGGAGUGAGUGUGAGCUGCUUUAGUGUCAUAGCUAUUUUGCAUUUCAGACUUUGUUUUUAUGUUUUCUGCAGUAACUACAUUUCCAACAUAUUCUGAACCUACGGUAGGUUUUUUGGGUUUUUUCAAGAUUAUCUGCAUAUUUGACGUUUUGUUGAUUACAAAUUUUCUCUCAUAUUGAAAUA